AACACCACGGAAUCACACCUGGGGAGAACAGACUGCUAUAGCUCAUGAACAAAUCCCUCAAAUAUUUGUGUUAAUGAGAACUGAGAGGGUGGGUAAACUAAAACUGACAUGUGCCUGAGGAGAAGAGGAAUGAAUAAUCUGCAUAAAUACAUUAACUGACUGGCCCCUGAAGUUUUCAAUCAGGAUAAGAGCAAGCCAUUUCCCCAUCAUGGUAUUUCAGAAGAAAUAAGUGUGAAGGAGCUGUCAUUUGUUACCAAACUUUUCAGGAGUCAACUCUAUCAAAAUGAUGCAAAUAACUCUUUGCUCUGACUGCAUGAGCCACUUCUUAUUUUCUACACAUGCACAAGAAACACAUGCGCCUCAUGAAUUAUCGCCCUGAUGCUGGAAACACUUAAGUGUAUGAAUAAUUUUAUGCACAUGUGCAGUUCCAUUUAAUCACAUGUGAGACUGCAAGAUCAGGGUCUGCAGCCAUAGUGCUUACUUGUAGUCACGGAAAAUGACUACCAGUGAUAAUUUCAGAAUCGGGGUUUUAAGAUCUUAUGUGCAGUAUUUGAUCAGCCUCUGCACAUGUUCAAUUUUGGUCAGAACUUAAAAAAAUACAUAAACCUUUACUUCAUCACAAAACCAGUUUUCAUAUAUAAAAAUCAAAUAUCCAUGGAACAGACUAACAUGACCAAAAAAAAAAAAAAGACUUCACCCCUUUGUAUUACUAUAUUUGAGUUAAAAUCACUACAUUCUGAUUUUAUUCAGAUCACUCUUAACUAUAACACUGGAAGCCUAUGUCCAUCACUACUCUAGCACUCUUUAUUACAGCAAUUUAACAGAUUAUAAUCAAAGCCUCACUAGAAGGCCUCUGUCACAGAGAAAUCUGGUCUAAACAGCCAUGGUUAGGGGCAGCUCCAGGCACCAGCAUGCCAAGUGCGUGCCUGGGGCGGCAAACCAUGGGGGGCACUCUGCUGGUUGCCGCGAGGAUGGCAGACAGGUUGCCUUCGGCAGCAUGCCUGCGGAGGGUCCGCUAGUCUCGCGACUUUGGCAGACCUUCCACAGGUGUGCCGCCGAAUCUGCGGAACUGGGGACCUCCCGCAGGCAAGCUGCUGAAGGCAGCCUGCCUACUGUGCUUGGGGCGGCAAAAUACCUAGAGCCGCCCCUGUCCAUGGUUGUAUUGAAUGUCUAGAUCUUCCUCUGUUUUGAAAAUGGAAUGAAAAAGCACGCCUUAAGGAACUCAGCCUCUCAAAAUUCACACAGCCUUUCAAGUUGUACAAAUCCCAUAAGGCCAUGGAUACUGGUUGACUGGAAGACUGGCCUAUCUAGGGGGAAGUGGAGACAGAGUAUAAAGACAAGCCCCAUUCCUUCACCCAUCUUCCAAUUCUCCUUUGCCACCACCCAAAGAGAAAAAUCCAGCUGCACGCCAGAGGGUUGUAGUGGUAUUCUAGGGGUGGACAGAAGACAGAGAUAUGAGAAAGGGGUAGUUUUCUGUGGCUGCAUAGUUAUUUUUAGUAUCGAGCAGAAACCAGAUUUCCAUGCCAUGGGAAAUUCCACAAUUUCAAAACACUGUCCCCUUUCUGAAAUAGUAGAAAAACGAGCCAUUUUGAAAUUUCCCAUAAAACAAAAUUUAAAAAAAAAAUUAGUUUUGGUAGCAACAUUUUGUUUUGAUCAAACCAAAACAUUUUUGUCUGAUCUCAGCCUUUUAAAAAUUCAUUUUAAUGUAAAAAUCAAUUAAUUUAGUUUCAAAAAGUGGUUUAGAAACAAAAAACCAGAAACAUUCCAUUCAAAAAAUGUCAAAAAACAGGAUGUUUCAAUGUUGCUGAAACACUUCAUUUCAGGUUUUUUCCCCCUAAACAAAAUGUUAUCAAAACCAGACAUGUUUUUCUACACAUUUUGAUGAACACAGCAUUUUUAAUCAAAAAACCUUUUUGGUGCAAAAGUUUCUACUAGCUCUAGUUAUUUUGCAGCUCUUACCAACAGGAAAAAUACUCUUUAGAAAAACAGGCAGCGUCCACAGCUGCCAAGUCCCUGAAGCUGGCCAAGCUUCUGAGAGCCAGUACUGCAGAGGCUAUUGCUGGCCUGCAGAGGAUCUUAAGUGUGGCAAGAAAGAAUUUCUUCAAUUCAUGGGAGAAAAGGUCCUGUAUUACCUGGAAUACUCUAUGGCUUGGUCUACACUAGAAAAAUUAAUCACUGCUGACAUUCAUUGUCAGGAAUGAGUAAUUUGUCUAGUGUAGACCAGGUGUAUGAUGCUGAAAUGUGACUUCACAAGAACAAUAAUCAUCCAGAAUCGCUUCUGCAUCACAAUGGUGAAGAGAUCUGCAGGCAAUUAAAAUGGCUACUUCAGGACAUUUCAAUUUAAGUUUUAUAUCAUCUACUUCUUGUCCCUGACAAUAUCAUCAAAACAGAACAAAAAGCUAAACAUUUUCCCUCGUUUUCCAAUUAAAACUUCUUUCAUUCAACAAA